AGUUAAGAAGCUUAAGAAAGCAUAUAUUUUGAAAAUAUAAGAAAGAGGUUUAAUUCCUCUAUUAACUU
rnacentral:tRNA from 1 species